GUUCACUUCGGCAGCACAUAUACUAAAAUUGGGAAGAUACAGAGAAGAUUAUCAUGGCACAUGAACAAGGAUGACACACAAAACUCCAUGUGUAGAUGAUUUCA
rnacentral:snRNA from 1 species